rnacentral:rRNA from 1 species
CUAGNCGGUACUCGCGAAUGCAUCUCAGAUUAGAGUANUGAUCAUGGCUCAGAUUGAACGCUGGCGGCAGGCCUAACACAUGCAAGUCGAGCGGAUGACGGGAGCUUGCUCCUUGAUUCAGCGGCGGACGGGUGAGUAAUGCCUAGGAAUCUGCCUGGUAGUGGGGGACAACGUUUCGAAAGGAACGCUAAUACCGCAUACGUCCUACGGGAGAAAGCAGGGGGACCUUCGGGCCUUGCGCUAUCAGAUGAGCCUAGGUCGGAUUAGCUAGUUGGUGGGGUAAUGGCUCACCAAGGCGACGAUCCGUAACUGGGCUGAGAGGAUGAUCAGUCACACUGGAACUGAGACACGGUCCAGACUCCUACGGGAGGCAGCAGUGGGGAAUAUUGGACAAUGGGCGAAAGCCUGAUCCAGCCAUGCCGCGUGUGUGAGGAAGGUCUUCNGAUUGUAAAGCACUUUAAGUUAGGGAGGAAGGGCAGUAAGUUAAUACCUUGCUGUNCAUUGACGUUACC